UACGUAGGGGGCAAGCGUUAUCCGGAUUUACUGGGUGUAAAGGGAGCGUAGACGGCCAGACAAGUCUGAAGUGAAAAUCCAGCGCUUAACGUUGGAAGUGCUUUGGAAACUGCCGGGCUAGAGUGCAGGAGGGGCAGGCGGAAUUCCUAGUGUAGCGGUGAAAUGUGUAGAUAUUAGGAGGAACACCAGUGGCGAAGGCGGCCUGCUGGACUGCAACUGACGUUGAGGCUCGAAGGCGUGGGGAGCAAACAGG
rnacentral:rRNA from 1 species